rnacentral:rRNA from 1 species
UCAGUUAUCGUUUAUUUGAUAGUACCUUACUACAUGGAUAACCGUGGUAAUUCUAGAGCUAAUACAUGCUGAAAACCCCGACUUCGGAAGGGGUGUAUUUAUUAGAUUAAAAACCAAUGCCCUUCGGGGCUCACUGGUGAUUCAUGAUAACUUCUCGAAUCGCACGGCCUUGCGCCGGCGAUGGUUCAUUCAAAUUUCUGCCCUAUCAACUUUCGACGGCUGGGUCUUGGCCAGCCGUGGUGACAACGGGUAACGGAGGGUUAGGGCUCGACCCCGGAGAAAACGCCUGAGAAACGGCGUUUACAUCCAAGGAAGGCAGCAGGCGCGCAAAUUACCCAAUGCCGACACGGCGAGGUAGUGACGAGAAAUACUGAUACAGGGCUCUUUUGGGUCUUGUAAUUGGAAUGAGUACAAUUUAAAUCUCUUAACGAGGAACAAUUGGAGGGCAAGUCUGGUGCCAGCAGCCGCGGUAAUUCCAGCUCCAAUAGCGUAUAUUAAAGUUGUUGCAGUUAAAAAGCUCGUAGUUGAACCUUGGGCCUGGCUGGCCGGUCCGCCUCACCGCGUGCACUGGUCCGGCCGGGCCUUUCCCUCUGGGGAGCCCCAUGCCCUUUACUGGGCGUGGCGGGGAACCAGGACUUUUACUUUGAAAAAAUUAGAGUGUUCAAAGCAGGCCUAUGCUCGAAUACAUUAGCAUGGAAUAAUAGAAUAGGACGUGUGGUUCUAUUUUGUUGGUUUCUAGGACCGCCGUAAUGAUUAAUAGGGACAGUCGGGGGCGUCAGUAUUCAAUUGUCAGAGGUGAAAUUYUUGGAUUUAUUGAAGACUAACUACUGCGAAAGCAUUCGUCAAGGAUGUUUUCAUUAAUCAGGAACGAAAGUUAGGGGAUCGAAAACGAUCAGAUACCGUUGUAGUCUUAACCAUAAACUAUGCCGACCAGGGAUCGGGCGGUGUUAUUAUUUGACCCGCUCGGCA